CCAGAAGGGCACCGAACACAAAAAAAGUGCUUGAAAGCAGUGGGAAGCGAGGAAGCUCUUCUGCCUGAGCUGCUGCGUGGAUCAAGAGCGGCGCCUCCUUCCCUCACAGCUGUAUCCAGUCACACAGCUGCGCUUGCCCAGCCAGCGAGGAAAGGAGGCCGUCUUGCCGAGGAGAGUUGCGGCUGUCAGGAUUUUGUCCAACUUGAUGCAAAAUGAAUGAGCUGCCGUGCCCCCGAGGGGAUUUGAGGCUGGUCGCUGAAGUGGGAGUUUAUGGCUGAAUGGCAGGAGUGCUUCACGCACACAGAGAUAUCUGUGCAGAUGUUGAACAGCGAACCGCAGACAAGGCAGGGAGAGCUGGAGCCGGCAGUCCCCGAGGUGCUUGGUGCUAGGAAUUCUUAUUUGCUGCAAUAAGGAAUAAGAGAGAGAGACUUUGCUUAUGUAGCGAGGGAUAAAGACACGCGGAUUUUGAAAUGCCACGUCUUUCGAUGUGACACGCCAGCAAAAGCCAUUGCCACUAGUCUGCACGAAAUCUGUUCUAAG